AGUGAUUGGUUUAUUUGAUUGGCGGGCUUUAUGUUUGUGCAUAAAACUGUUGAUCGAUAAGCCUCUUCAAUGUUUGCGCCAAGAGCUAUUAUGAGCCUUGGGCGAGUAUUGGUUUUCUGUGUUGCAUUCCAAUUGAAGGUAUACUUUCCGAGAAAUUAAUGAUUUUCGCCUGGCACUGUUAUGGGUGUCUGGUGGACCAAUGUAGCUAGGUUCGUUCCCCAAACACAAUGACGUAGCGUCUUUGUUAUGGAGUACGGUCUCUAGUUGUGCCCUGGGAUGCAGAAAGUUUACUGGGGAUAGUUUUGAUACGUUGUGUCCCUGAUUAAGCAUUUUAUGCUAAGCAUGAAAGACAGUCCGUUACGAGAUGAACUUCCCUGCAAAGGGUGGGCUCAUGCGUAUCGGUGUCGAUCGAGGAGUGCUACCUGGUUGAUCCUGCCAGUAGUCAUAUGCUUGUCUCAAAGAUUAAGCCAUGCAUGUGUAAGUAU
rnacentral:misc_RNA from 1 species